rnacentral:rRNA from 1 species
AACGAACGCUGGCGGCAGGCUUAACACAUGCAAGUCGAACGCACCUUUCGGGGUGAGUGGCCGACGGGUGAGUAACGCGUGGGAAUCUACCCUUCUCUACGGGAUAGCUCCGGGAAACUGGAAUUAAUACCGUAUACGUCCUGAGGGAGAAAGAUUUAUCGGGGAAGGAUGAGCCCGCGUUGGAUUAGCUAGUUGGUGGGGUAAAGGCCUACCAAGGCGACGAUCCAUAGCUGGUCUAAGAGGAUGAUCAGCCACAUUGGGACUGAGACACGGCCCAAACUCCUACGGGAGGCAGCAGUGGGGAAUAUUGGACAAUGGGCGCAAGCCUGAUCCAGCCAUGCCGCGUGAGUGAUGAAGGCCCUAGGGUUGUAAAGCUCUUUCAGGGGGGACGAUAAUGACGGUACCCACAGAAGAAGCCCCGGCUAACUUCGUG